rnacentral:rRNA from 1 species
GGCGUAAAGAGCUCGUAGGCGGUUUGUCGCGUCUGCUGUGAAAACGCGAGGCUCAACCUCGCGCCUGCAGUGGGUACGGGCAGACUAGAGUGCGGUAGGGGAGAUUGGAAUUCCUGGUGUAGCGGUGGAAUGCGCAGAUAUCAGGAGGAACACCGAUGGCGAAGGCAGAUCUCUGGGCCGUAACUGACGCUGAGGAGCGAAAGCGUGGGGAGCGAACAGGAUUAGAUACCCUGGUAGUCCACGCCGUAAACGUUGGGAACUAGAUGUAGGGACCAUUCCACGGUUUCUGUGUCGCAGCUAACGCAUUAAGUUCCCCGCCUGGGGAGUACGGUCGCAAGACUAAAACUCAAAGGAAUUGACGGGGGCCCGCACAAGCGGCGGAGCAUGCGGAUUAAUUCGAUGCAACGCGAAGAACCUUACCAAGGCUUGACAUAUACGAGAACGGGCCAGAAAUGGUCAACUCUUUGGACACUCGUAAACAGGUGGUGCAUGGUUGUCGUCAGCUCGUGUCGUGAGAUGUUGGGUUAAGUCCCGCAACGAGCGCAACCCUCGUCCUAUGUUGCCAGCACGUAAUGGUGGGAACUCAUGGGAGACUGCCGGGGUCAACUCGGAGGAAGGUGGGGAUGACGUCAAAUCAUCAUGCCCCUUAUGUCUUGGGCUUCACGCAUGCUACAAUGGCCGGUACAAAGGGCUGCAAUACCGCAAGGUGGAGCGAAUCCCAAAAAGCCGGUCUCAGUUCGGAUUGAGGUCUGCAACUCGACCUCAUGAAGUUGGAGUCGCUAGUAAU